AGGAUAAACGCUGGCGGCGUGCCUAACACAUGCAAGUCGAACGUCUCUUUCUUCGGGAAGAGGAGUGGCGGACGGGUGAGGAACACGUGGGAACCUGCCCUUUAGUGAGGAAUACCGGCGAGAAAUCGCCGACAAGACCGCAUAGCCCUCUUUGAUGAGAGUCAAAGAAGGAAAGCUUCGCAAGAGGCGCUAGAGGAGGGGCCUGCGUCCGAUUAGCUAGUUGGUGGGGUAAGAGCCUACCAAGGCGUCGAUCGGUAGCUGGUCUGAGAGGACGAUCAGCCACACUGGGAUUGAGAACGGCCCAGACUCCUACGGGGGCAGCAGUGAGGAAUUUUCGGCAAUGGGGGAAACCCUGACCGAGCAACGCCGCGUGCAGGAAGACGGCCUUCGGGUUGUAAACUGCUUUCUCGGGGACGAGCAAGGACGGUACCCGAGGAAGAAGCCCCGGCUAACUACGUGCCAGCAGCCGC
rnacentral:rRNA from 1 species